rnacentral:rRNA from 1 species
UACGAGGGGUGCAAGCGUUGUUCGGAAUUAUUGGGCGUAAAGGGCGCGUAGGCGGUGCGGUAAGUCACCUGUGAAACCUCUAGGCUCAACCUAGAGCCUGCAGGCGAAACUGCCGUGCUUGAGGGUGGGAGAGGUGAGUGGAAUUCCAGGUGUAGCGGUGAAAUGCGCAGAUAUCGGGAAGAACACCCGUGGCGAAGGCGGUUCUCUGGGACGGUACUGACGCUGAGACGCGAAAGCGUGGGGAGCGAACAGG